GCCUGGAUAGCUCAGCCGGUAGAGCAUCAGACGUUUAAUCUGAGGGUCCAGGGUUCAAGUCCCUGUUCAGGCG
rnacentral:tRNA from 1 species